rnacentral:piRNA from 1 species
ACAACCGAUACAGUCAUUCCAACUAACA